GUAGAGCAGUGGUUCUCAGCCGGGAGUGACUUCAUUCCCGAGGGGACAUUUGACAAUGUCUGGAGACAUUAUUGAUUGUCACAACAGGGGAGGGAGGAAGGUGCUGCUGGCAUCCAGUGUGCAGAGGCCAGGAUGCUGCUAAAUGUGCUACGAUGCACAGGACGCCCCGUCCCCCACGAAGCAUGGUCCAGCCCAAGCGUCACCAGUGCCGAGGCAGGGACGCCGUGGUGUAGGGCGUCUAAAACCUCUUCCAGCCCCGCAAGCCUGUGGUGACUAGCCCGUGACGUCAGGGGAACCUAGGCCAGGAGGGGGAGACUCCAGGCCUCCGCCCGGAACCCCUGGAGUGUGCCCCACGCCCCACAGCCAGUCUGAACCUGGUGGGCCUGCUCUCUGUGGCCACAGACGGGAGAACAAAAUCUCCGCUCAUCAGUUGCUGUUUUUCAAACUCAAAACCCAUUUCCCUAUUGACCCACAUAAACAUUUUGGAGAUCGUUAA